UGGUAAGAGCAGCACCAGUGUUUUUGAAAAGUCCUGUGGCUGCGGUCCUCUACAGUUAUCUUCAGUCCUUCUUCAGUGCUGUGACUGAGUGCUUGCUGAUUAUUGUGCUUGCUGAUCCUGACUAAUACUCUCUCUUGAUGAGCUUCAUAUUCAUCACGACUUGGAUAAAUUUUGCUGAUGAGUGCAUCAAACUUUGGGUCUGGCCUUGGUGAUCUUUUGGAAACCAGUUUUUUCCAACAGUUGGUUGGAUCUAGGAUGUAAACUGCAAGUGUGGCAGGCCGACUGCACUGUUUUGUUACUAGAGGGAGUGAGAACACACCUGUGGACUUGAGCACCUUCCAUUCACCAGUUGC
rnacentral:lncRNA from 1 species